CACCGACUGGGCUCUGGGAGUAGCAGGAAGGCCCAGCCAGCUCCCGCAAAGAUGCCUUCAGAGGCCGCUGUGUAGUGUGCAUGCUGCGCGCACAAAAGGGACAUGUUAACAGACAAAGAAUGCAAGCCGGAGGCUGGGAGAGGGCUCAGUGGGUAAGCUGCUGGCCUUGGAGACCUCAGGGCUGAGUUUGAAUCCCCAGAACUUCUGCACAGCUGGACAUAGCAACACGGGCACUCCUACGGUGACAUCCAGCGAUCCUGCUCACACAGCUGAACCUGAGCUUCUCCUGUGACUGCUCUGUCCCCAUGCACCCUGGAACAGACCCCGCUGCGCAGGUGGCCGUGUCCAGGCUGCCCGUGAUGCAGGGUUGGCAGGUGGGUUUCCACCUCACCUUAAAUGAGUUCUAAGAUGACUGACCUCCAACAGCUGCCACCUGCAGCCCUGGGCAGGGCCCUGAGCCAACCCCAAGCAGCAGUGGAGGGCCGGAUGGAGAGAGAAGACAGAGCUAAAGGCAGAAGGGAAGACCAUGAGGGACUUCAGAGGCCCCUGCAAGACCUGGGCUCAGCUCCAAAUGGAGGCUACAGCAGGGAAGAAACUGUCUCUUAAGUGUGGGAAGAUGCCUGCAGCUGCUAUGGAAGAAAUGACAUGCGGCAGAGAGAAGCUUAGGAGGCUGCGUGGCCACCAAGACUGACACAACAUGGGCUGGCUGGCACCAGGCUGGUGGCAGAAGCGGUCAAAAUGGCCAGGCUUGGGAUACAUGGGAGGGGUGUCAAGGACAGGCUUCUGCACAGGUAGGAUUUGGGUUGAGAGAGAGAUAGGGGAGCUGGCCAUGGUGCUUAGGGCUGGGCUGGAGUGGUGGUGAAGGGUUGACAUCUGUCAGGUCAGGGACUAUGGGGAGAGCAGAAAGUCAGGACCAUGACAUGUAAAACAUGUGGCUGGUCCUUACAAAACUCACACAGGAGUGUAGUGGCCAUCGUGACAGUGUGAAAGGGUCAUGCAUCCCUCAGGGUGACCAGGUCUCU